rnacentral:rRNA from 1 species
GACGAACGCUGGCGGCGUGCUUAACACAUGCAAGUCGAACGAUGAACCCGGAGCUUGCUCCGGCGGAUUAGUGGCGAACGGGUGAGUAACACGUGAGUAACCUGCCCUUGACUCUGGGAUAACUGCGGGAAACUGUAGCUAAUACCGGAUACGACCCUCGGCGGCAUCGCCAGGGGGUGGAAAGAAUUUCGGUCAAGGAUGGACUCGCGGCCUAUCAGCUAGUUGGUGAGGUAACGGCUCACCAAGGCGACGACGGGUAGCCGGCCUGAGAGGGUGACCGGCCACACUGGGACUGAGACACGGCCCAGACUCCUACGGGAGGCAGCAAUGGGGGAUAUUGCACAAUGGGCGCAAGCCUGAUGCAGCAACGCCGCGUGAGGGAUGACGGCCUUCGGGUUGUAAACCUCUUUUAGUAGGGAAGAAGCGAAAGUGACGGUACCUGCAGAAAAAGCACCGGCUAACUACGUGCCAGCCGCCGCCGUAA